rnacentral:misc_RNA from 1 species
GUUGAUCAGGUGAUGAAUUGGAUGGAGAUAAGUUUCUUCUAGUUGCAGUUGCAGCAGGAGCAGCCGCAGCUGGUGCCGCACUUGCAGGUGUUGCAGCCGCAGCUGCCGUUCUCCGCCCCCAUCUCUGAUCCUCCGGAAGCAGCACCAGACCCCUUGUUGGUUGCAUCGGCAAGGAAGGUGGUCGUGGUCGUGGGUUCCACCUCAGAGUACUUGCAUCCGCCGCAGCCGUUGCCGCACUGGCAGCUGGAGCCGCAUCCGCAGUUGCCACCGCAGCACGACAUGGUGAUGAUGAUGAGAGCUUCUUCUUCCUUCUCUGGCCUUGUCGGCAACUAGCUGCUGCUUACUUGUAUGGAGCUUCU